CAUCUUUCACGUCUUCAAUCGCUGAUGGCACUGGUCACAACUGCAGAAAUUUGUGAUGCAAAUCCACAACUAAUUGUGAGUGGUGAGCUCCGGGCACUUAAGCCAAUUUUCAAGAUUUAUGGUCGGCGCCAAGUCUUUUCUGGUCCAGUAGUGACCCUUAAGGUGUUUGAAGACAAUGUUCUGAUCCGCGAGUUUCUUGAGGAGAAGGGUAAUGGCAGAGUUCUUGUUGUAGAUGGUGGUGGCAGUCUGCGGUGCGCAAUAUUGGGAGGCAAUCCUGUUGUACAAGCUCAGAAUAACGGAUGGCAAGGUAUAGUGGUUAAUGGCUGCAUUAGGGAUGUUGAUGAGAUCAAUGGCUGUGAUAUUGGAGUUAGGGCUCUGGCUUCCCAUCCUAUGAAAGCCAAUAAGAAG
rnacentral:misc_RNA from 1 species